rnacentral:rRNA from 1 species
GUCAACACGGUGCCGGGGGGUGCGGUAGUACGGAGGUGGCAAGCGGUAAUGUGAAGUCAUGGGCGGAGAGCGUCCGCAGGCGGUUGUAUAAGUUAGAUGUGAAAGGCCCGGGGUCAACCUGGGGAUUGCAGUGAAGACUGUCCAGCUGGGGUCUUGUAGGGGGGUGUAGAAGUCCAGGUGUAGCGGUGAAGUGCGUAGAGGUCUGGAGGAAUACCGGUGGCGAAGGCGGCCCCCUGGACAAAGACUGACGCUCAGGUGCGAAAGCGUGGGGAGCAAACAGGAUUAGAUACCCGGGUAGUC